CAGCACCUCAAGUGGUCAGGAUGAUUAUUGGGCCUAAAGCAUCCGUAGCCGGCGCUGUAAGUUUUCGGUUAAAUCUGUACGCUCAACGUACAGGCUGCCGGGAAUACUGCAGCGCUAGGGAGUGGGAGAGGUAGACGGUACUCGGUAGGAAGGGGUAAAAUCCUUUGAUCUAUUGAUGCCCACCUGUGGCGAAGGCGGUCUACCAGAACACGUCCGACGGUGAGGGAUGAAAGCUGGGGGAGCAAACCGGAUUAGAUACCCGAGUAGUCC
rnacentral:rRNA from 1 species